rnacentral:rRNA from 1 species
GUCCACGCUGUAAACGAUGAAGACUAGAUGUUGUUAGGCUAAGACCUAUCAGUAUCGAAGCUAACGCGAUAAGUCUUCCGCCUGGGGAGUACGGUCGCAAGAUUAAAACUCAAAGAAAUUGACGGGGGCCCCGCACAAGCGGUGGAGCAUGUGGUUUAAUUCGACGCAACGCGAAGAACCUUACCUACCCUUGACAUCCAGAGAAUUCUGCAGAGAUGCGGAAGUGCCGAAAGGAACUCUGAGACAGGUGCUGCAUGGCUGUCGU